rnacentral:rRNA from 1 species
UGGGGAAUAUUGGACAAUGGGCGAAAGCCUGAUCCAGCAAUGCCGCGUGAGUGAUGAAGGCCUUAGGGUUGUAAAGCUCUUUUACCAGGGAUGAUAAUGACAGUACCUGGAGAAUAAGCUCCGGCUAACUCCGUGCCAGCAGCCGCGGUAAUACAGAGGCCCCAAGCGUUAUCCGGAAUCACUGGGCGUAAAGGGUGUCGAGGCGGUUGUAUUAGUCGUUCGUAAAAUCUACGAGCUUAACUUGUAGGCGGCGAACGAAACGGUACGACUUGAGGUUUGGAGAGGUGCGUGGAACUCACGGUGUAGGGGUGAAAUCCGUUGAUAUCGUGGGGAACACCAAAGGCGAAGGCAGCGCACUGGCCAAAAUCUGACGCUCACACACGAAAGCUAGGGUAGCGAAGAGGAUUAAAUACCCCCGUAGUCCCUGAGCGGGCUGGCAAGGCGCAU